rnacentral:rRNA from 1 species
UGGGGAAUAUUGGGCAAUGGGCGCAAGCCUGACCCAGCAACGCCGCGUGAGGGAAGAAGGCCUUCGGGUUGUAAACCUCUGUCCUUGGUGACGAAACAAAUGACGGUAGCCAAGGAGGAAGCCCCGGCUAACUACGUGCCAGCAGCCGCGGUAAUACGUAGGGGGCGAGCGUUGUCCGGAAUUACUGGGCGUAAAGGGUGCGUAGGUGGCCUUUUAAGUUGGAUGUGAAAUACUCGGGCUUAACUUGGGGGGUGCAUCUAAUACUGGAGGGCUAGAGUGCAGGAGAGGGAAGCGGAAUUCCUAGUGUAGCGGUGAAAUGCGUAGAUAUUAGGAGGAACACCAGUGGCGAAGGCGGCUUUCUGGACUGUAACUGACACUGAGGCACGAAAGCGUGGGGAGCAAACAG